UGGAGAGGCCAGGGCCAGCCGGGCAGCCUCAGGGCAGAGCUCUUGGAAGCCCCUCCCACCAUGGACUGGGCUCCUUUGUACCUCCUGCCCCUGGUUUUCUCCACAGGUCUCUGUGCUUUGCCUGUGCUGACCCAGCCCCCGUCUGCUUCUGCCUCCCUGGGAGCCUCGGCCAAGCUCACCUGCACCCUCAGUAGUGAGCACAGCAGCUACACUAUUGAAUGGUAUCAGCAGCAUCCAGGGAAGGCCCCUCGGUAUGUGAUGCAGCUUAAGAGUGAUGGAAGCCAGAGCAAGGGAGAUGGGAUCCCUGAUCGCUUCUCAGGCUCCAGCUCUGGGGCCAACCGCUACUUGACCAUCUCCAACCUCCAGUCUGAGGAUGAGGCUGAGUAUAUCUGUGGUGAGAGCCAUACAAUUGAUGGCCAAACUGGUUAA